rnacentral:pre_miRNA from 9 species
UCUCGAUAGCGUAAAAGUUAACUCAUAUUUGUGUGGAGUUGGAACGUUUGCCUACGUUUGUCGCUAGGGGCACUGUUCCAAUUGAAUACAAAUUUGAGUAACUUUUACGCGAUCGA